rnacentral:piRNA from 1 species
UCCUUAGCAACUGACAAAUGACAAAGGGA